CCUACGGGUGGCAGCAGUUGGGAAUAUUGGGCAAUGGGCGCAAGCCUGACCCAGCAACGCCGCGUGAAGGAAGAAGGCUUUCGGGUUGUAAACUUCUUUUCUCAGGGACGAAGAAAGUGACGGUACCUCAGGAAUAAGCCACGGCUAACUACGUGCCAGCAGCCGCGGUAAUACGUAGGUGGCAAGCGUUAUCCGGAUUUAUUGGGUGUAAAGGGCGUGUAGGCGGGAAAGCAAGUCAGAUGUGAAAACCAAGGGCUCAACCUUGGGCCUGCAUUUGAAACUGUUUUUCUUGAGUGCUGGAGAGGCAAUCGGAAUGCCGAGUGUAGCGGUGAAAUGCGUAGAUAUAAGGAGGAACACCAGUGGCGAAGGCGGACUGCUGGACAGUAACUGACGCUGAGGCGCGAAAGCGUGGGGAGCAAACAGGAUUAGAUACCCUGGUAGUC
rnacentral:rRNA from 1 species